ACAACCGGUUCUUCCGGAUAUUGAACUUGUGGGUACUGAAGGUGUAGGAUAUCAGAUGGCUGGGACAAACGUUGUUGAUAAUCACCCUAUUAGUCCAGGCCACUCGAUACCUGAACAGACCGCAGACCCGGUUGUUCCCCAACCCACUGAUGGUGAUAUCACAUGUGUUCAGCGGCCUCCCGAUCUAAACUCAGGUGAGCAAAAAACAUAUUGAAAAGGAGACCCGGCAAUCUCGGUUAUUUAUCAUGCUUAUAGAGGUUGUGUUGCAGACAUUCAAGAACAGUCUAAGAACAAUAACAUUUAGCUUUUGUUUUGUUCCAGAUGUUCUUGAUGUGUGUCCUAUUGAUGGAGGAAUACACCUGUACACUAUGUCAACUGCUCAAGAUUUAUCCCAAACCGUUUCAACAUCCGAGCACAUGACUACAGGAUCUUUCGAGAAUAUCACCAAACAAACUAAAAAAGGUAUCUUAUCUGAU